rnacentral:rRNA from 1 species
CCUACGGGGUGCAGCAGUGAGGAAUAUUGGUCAAUGGGCGCGAGCCUGAACCAGCCAAGUCGCGUGAGGGAAGACGGUCCUACGGAUUGUAAACCUCUUUUGCCGGGGAGCAACGGGGUCCAUGCGAGGGCCCGAUGAGAGUACCCGGAGAAAAAGCAUCGGCUAACUCCGUGCCAGCAGCCGCGGUAAUAAGGAGGAUGCGAGCGUUAUCUGGUUUUAUUGGGUGUAAAGGGUGUGUAGGCGGGAUGUUAAGGAAGCGGUAAAAUGUGGGGGUUAAACCCCUGCCUGCCGUUGAAACUGGCGGCCUCGAGUGGGCUAGAAGUAUGCGGAAUGCGUGGUGUAGCGGUGAAAUGCAUAGAUAUCACGCAGAACUCCGAUUGCGAAGGCAGCAUACCGGCGCCCGACUGACGCUGAGGCACGAAAGCGUGGGUAUCGAACAGGAUUAGAUACCCCUGUAGUC